rnacentral:rRNA from 1 species
CCUACGGGAGGCAGCAGUGGGGGAUAUUGCACAAUGGGGGAAACCCUGAUGCAGCGACGCCGCGUGUGGGAAGACGGUCCUCUGGAUUGUAAACCACUGUCCCCAGGGACGAAGAUGACGGUACCUGGGGAGGAAGCUCCGGCUAACUACGUGCCAGCAGCCGCGGUAAUACGUAGGGAGCGAGCGUUGUCCGGAAUUACUGGGUGUAAAGGGAGCGUAGGCGGGCGAGAAAGUUGAAUGUUAAAUCUACCGGCUUAACUGGUAGCUGCGUUCAAAACUUCUUGUCUUGAGUGAAGUAGAGGCAGGCGGAAUUCCUAGUGUAGCGGUGAAAUGCGUAGAUAUUAGGAGGAACACCAGUGGCGAAGGCGGCCUGCUGGGCUUUAACUGACGCUGAGGCUCGAAAGCGUGGGGAGCAAACAGGAUUAGAUACCCCUGUAGUC